GAUGAACGCUGGCGGCGUGCCUAAUACAUGCAAGUCGAGCGACGCGGGGACAGGGGAGUAACACGUGGAUAACCUCCUAUAAGACUGGGAUAACUUCGGGAAAACGGAACUAAAACGGAUACUUAUAGAAGGAUCCGCGCUGCAUUAGCUGGUUGGUAAGGUAACGGCGUACCAAGGCAACGAUGCAUAGCCGACCUGAGAGGGUGACCGGCCACACUGGAACUGAGACACGGUCCAGACUCCUACGGGAGGCAGCAGUAGGGAAUCUUCCGCAAUGGGCGAAAGCCUGACGGAGCAAUGCCGCGUGAGUGAUGAAGGCCUUCGGGUCGUAAAACUCUGUUAUUAGGGAAGCGGUACCUAAUCAGAAAGCCACGGCUAACUACGUGCCAGCAGCCGCGGUAAUUC
rnacentral:rRNA from 1 species